rnacentral:rRNA from 1 species
AUUGAACGCUGGCGGCAGGCCUAACACAUGCAAGUCGAACGGUAACAGGAAGAAGCUUGCUUCUUUGCUGACGAGCGGCGGACGGGUGAGUAAUGUCUGGGAAACUGCCUGAUGGAGGGGGAUAACUACUGGAAACGGUAGCUAAUACCGCAUAACGUCGCAAGCCCAAAGAGGGGGACCUUCGGGCCUCUUGCCAUCGGGUGUGCCCAGAUGGGAUUAGCUAGUAGGUGGGGUAACGGCUCACCUAGGCGACGAUCCCUAGCUGGUCUGAGAGGAUGACCGGCCACACUGGAACUGAGACACGGUCCAGACUCCUACGGGAGGCAGCAGUGGGGAAUAUUGCACAAUGGGCGCAAGCCUGAUGCAGCCAUGCCGCGUGUAUGAAGAAGGCCUUCGGGUUGUAAAGUACUUUCAGCGGGGAGGAAGGGAGUAAAGUUAAUACCUUGGCUCAUUGACGUUACCCGCAGAAGAAGCACCGGCUAACUCCGUG